GCGGUCAUAGCUCAGCUGGUUAGAGCACAAGAUUGUGAUUCUUGGGGUCGCGGGUUCGAAUCCCGUUGACCGCCCCA
rnacentral:tRNA from 1 species